UACAGAGACUGCAAGCGUUAUUCGGAUUCACUGGGCGUAAAGGGUGCGCAGGCGGCCGUGUGUGUGAGGCGUGAAAGCCCGGGGCUUAACCCCGGAAUUGCACCUCAAACUACAUGGCUAGAGCAUUGGAGAGGGUAGCAGAAUUCAUGGUGUAGCAGUGAAAUGCGUAGAUAUCAUGAGGAAUACCAGAGGCGAAGGCGGCUCCCUGGACAAUUGCUGACGCUCAGGCACGAAAGCGUGGGGAGCAAAAGGG
rnacentral:rRNA from 1 species